GUGCCAGCCGCCGCGGUAAUACGGAAGGUCCGGGCGUUAUCCGGAUUUAUUGGGUUUAAAGGGAGCGCAGGCUGAUGAUUAAGCGUGACGUGAAAUGUAGCCGCUCAACGGCUGAACUGCGUCGCGAACUGGUUAUCUUGAGUGAGUUCGAUGUAGGCGGAAUUCGUGGUGUAGCGGUGAAAUGCUUAGAUAUCACGAAGAACCCCGAUUGCGAAGGCAGCCUACAAGGCCUUAACUGACGCUAAAGCUCGAAGGUGCGGGUAUCGAACAGGAUUAGAUACCCUGGUAGUCCGCACGGUAAACGAUGGAUGCCCGCUGUUUGCGAUAUAUUGUGAGCGGCCAAGAGAAAUCGUUAAGCAUCCCACCUGGGGAGUACGCCGGCAACGGUGAAACUCAAAGGAAUUGACGGGGGCCCGCACAAGCGGAGGAACAUGUGGUUUAAUUCGAUGAUACGCGAGGAACCUUACCCGGGCUUGAACUGCAGAGGAAUGCGGUGGAGACACCAAAGCCCUUCGGGGCCUCUGUGGAGGUGCUGCAUGGUUGUCGUCAGCUCGUGCCGUGAGGUGUCGGCUUAAGUGCCAUAACGAGCGCAACCCUUUUUCCUUAGUUGCCAUCAGGUGAUGCUGGGCACUCUGGGGAUACUGCCACCGUAAGGUGUGAGGAAGGUGGGGAUGACGUCAAAUCAGCACGGCCCUUACGUCCGGGGCUACACACGUGUUACAAUGGGGAGUACAGAGAGUCAGGCGCCGGCAACGUCGCCUCAAUCAGUAAAGCUCUCCUCAGUUCGGAUUGGGGUCUGCAACCCGACCCCAUGAAGCUGGAUUCGCUAGUAAUCGCGCAUCAGCCAUGGCGCGGUGAAUACGUUCCCGGGCCUUGUACACACCGCCCGU
rnacentral:rRNA from 1 species